rnacentral:rRNA from 1 species
ACGACUACAUAUCAGGCAUAUCAAUAAGCGGAGGAAAAGAAACUAACAAGGAUUCCCUUAGUAACUGACGUAGUGAAGCGGGAAGAGCUCAAAUUUGAAAUCUUCAAGGUUCUACCUUGACGAAUUGUAGUUUAAAGAAGUGUUUCCUGUUAGAUGAGUAGCAAAAGUUCCUUGGAAUGGGACAUCAUAGAGGGUGAGAAUCCCGUAUUUGGUUAUUCAUUCUAGCUUUGUGAUACACUUUCAAUGAGUCGGAUUGUUUGGGAAUGCAGUCCAAAAUGGGUGGUAAAUUUCAUCUAAAGCUAAAUAUUGGCGAGAGAGCCGAUAGCGAACAAGUACCGUGAGGGAAAGAUGAAAAGAACUUUGAAAAGAGAGUUAAACAGUACGUGAAAUUGUCAAAAGGGAAGCGUUUGACACCAGUGUUGUUUUUCCGAAAAUCAAUUACGAAUGGCUUGAUUUUGUGUUGUAUUGACCUUAUCAGCUUUCUGCACUUUUUUCGAGUCUUUCUUAAUGCACUUUUCGGUUAACAAGUCAACAUCAAUUUCUUUUGUUGUAAAAGAGUAUUCGGAAGGUGGCUUUCUUUUCGGAGAAAGUGUUUAUAGCCCUAUACUUCUACAAUCGGAGAGAUUGAGGUCUGCAGCGUAGAUCCUUCGGGGUUAGAUACACUUGUGCUAAGUUGUAGCUUUUCAUAGACAACUUGUUGACUAUGUUUAGUCAUGCGGCUUACUCGCUUGUGCUAUUUUACCUACGCUUAGGAUGUUGAGUAGCGACAUACGCAC